rnacentral:rRNA from 1 species
AGGGAUGCAGCCCCGCGAGGGUGAGNGACCCCAAAAAGGCCCCCCACGUUCGGAUUGCAGCCUGCAACUCGGCUGCAUGAAGCUGGAAUCGCUAGUAAUCGCGGAUCAGAAUGCCGCGGUGAAUACGUUCCCGGGUCUUGUACACACCGCCCGUCACACCAUGGGAGCCUGAUAUGCCCGAAGUCAGUGGCCCAACCGAGAGGGGGAGCUGCCGAAGGUGGAGCAGGUGACUGGGGUGAAGUCGUAACAAGGUAAC